rnacentral:rRNA from 1 species
UACGAAGGGGGCUAGCGUUGCUCGGAAUCACUGGGCGUAAAGGGUGCGUAGGCGGGUCUUUAAGUCAGGGGUGAAAUCCUGGAGCUCAACUCCAGAACUGCCUUUGAUACUGAAGAUCUUGAGUUCGGGAGAGGUGAGUGGAACUGCGAGUGUAGAGGUGAAAUUCGUAGAUAUUCGCAAGAACACCGAGUGGCGAAGGCGCUCACUGGCCCGAUACUGACGCUGAGGCACGAAAGCGUGGGGAGCAAACAGG